GAUGAACGCUGGCGGCGUGCCUAAUACAUGCAAGUCGAGCGAACGGACGAGAAGCUUGCUUCUCUGAUGUUAGCGGCGGACGGGUGAGUAACACGUGGAUAACCUACCUAUAAGACUGGGAUAACUUCGGGAAACCGGAGCUAAUACCGGAUAAUAUUUUGAACUGCAUGGUUCAAAAGUGAAAGACGGUCUUGCUGUCACUUAUAGAUGGAUCCGCGCUGCAUUAGUUAGUUGGUAAGGUAACGGCUUACCAAGGCAACGAUGCAUAGCCGACCUGAGAGGGUGAUCGGCCACACUGGGACUGAGACACGGUCCAGACUCCGACGGGAGGCAGCAGUAGGGAAUCUUCCGCGAGGGGCGAAAGCCUGACGGAGCAACGCCGCGUGAGUGAUGAAGGUCUUCGGAUCGUAAAGCGCUGUUAUUAGGGAAGAACAUAUGUGUAAGUAACUGUGCACAUCUUGACGGUACCUAAUCAGAAAGCCACGGCUAACUACGUG
rnacentral:rRNA from 1 species